rnacentral:rRNA from 1 species
GUGUCAGCCGCCGCGGUAAUACGAAGGGUGCAAGCGUUGUUCGGAAUUAUUGGGCGUAAAGCGCACGUAGGCGGCUUUGUAAGUCUCACUGUGAAAGUCCGGGGCUCAACCCCGGGAUGCCAGGGGAUACUGCGAGGCUUGAGACAAGUAGAGGUUGGUAGAAUUCCGGGUGUAGCGGUGGAAUGCGUAGAGAUCCGGAGGAAUACCAGAGGCGAAGGCGGCCAACUGGGCUUGUUCUGACGCUGAGGUGCGAAAGCGUGGGGAGCGAACAGGAUUAGAUACCCUAGUAGUCC